rnacentral:rRNA from 1 species
UACAGAGGGGCGAGCGUUGUUCGGAAUUACUGGGCGUAAAGGGCGCGUAGGCGGCCCGCUAAGUCGAACGUGAAAUCCCCAGGCUCAACCUGGGAACUGCGUCCGAUACUGGCAGGCUUGAAUCCGGGAGAGGGAUGUGGAAUUCCAGGUGUAGCGGUGAAAUGCGUAGAUAUCGGGAGGAACACCAGUGGCGAAGGCGACUACCUGGCCCGGUACUGACGCUGAGGCGCGAAAGC